CCUACGGGGGGCAGCAGUGAGGAAUAUUGGUCAAUGGACGAGAGUCUGAACCAGCCAAGUAGCGUGAAGGAUGACUGCCCUAUGGGUUGUAAACUUCUUUUAUAUGGGAAUAAAAUGUUCCACGUGUGGGAUUUUGUAUGUACCAUAUGAAUAAGGAUCGGCUAACUCCGUGCCAGCAGCCGCGGUAAUACGGAGGAUCCGAGCGUUAUCCGGAUUUAUUGGGUUUAAAGGGAGCGUAGGUGGAUUGUUAAGUCAGUUGUGAAAGUUUGCGGCUCAACCGUAAAAUUGCAGUUGAAACUGGCAGUCUUGAGUACAGUAGAGGUGGGCGGAAUUCGUGGUGUAGCGGUGAAAUGCUUAGAUAUCACGAAGAACUCCGAUUGCGAAGGCAGUUCACUGAACUGCAACUGACACCGAGGCUCGAAAGUGUGGGUAUCAAACAGGAUUAGAUACCCCAGUAGUC
rnacentral:rRNA from 1 species